rnacentral:rRNA from 1 species
UAAUCUGCCCUUCAGUGGGGAAUAACACGCCGAAAGGCGUGCUAAUGCCGCAUGUCACAAUCAAGUUUCCGAACUAGAUUGGAAAAGGGGACGCCCGCAAGGGGUUCUCGCUGGAGGAUGAGUCCGCGGCCCAUCAGCUUGUUGGCGGGGUAAUGGCCCACCAAGGCGAAGACGGGUAGCUGGUCUGAGAGGAUGACCAGCCACACUGGGACUGAGACACGGCCCAG